ensembl:ncRNA F37D6.10 ncRNA
AACCGCCCGCCGGCUCCCUUGAGCACUCAUUUUUAUUGUUCCAGAGAUAUAGAGUAAAGACAUAGAGACAUAGAGACAUAGAAUGACUACUACUUUUUCUUCUUCCCGCCUUCUACUACUAACAUCCAUUCUCCCGUUCCCUUU